rnacentral:rRNA from 1 species
AACGAACGCUGGCGGCAUGCCUAACACAUGCAAGUCGAACGACACCUCCGUGUCUAGUGGCGCUCGGGUGCGUAACGCGUGGGAACCUGCCCUUAGGUUCGGAAUAACUCCCCGAAAGGGGUGCUAAUACCGGAUAAUGUCUUCGGAUCAAAGAUUUAUCGCCUUUGGAUGGGCCCGCGUUGGUUUAGCUGGUUGGUAGGGUAAAAGCCUACCAAGGCGACGAUCCAUAGAUGGUCUGAGAGGAUGAUCAGCCACACUGGGACUGAGACACGGCCCAGACUCCUACGGGAGGGAGCAGUGGGGAAUAUAGGAAAAUGGGCGAAAGCCUGAUCCAGCAAUGCCGGGUAAGUGAUGAAGGCGGUAGGGUUGUAAAGCUCUUUUACCCGGGAUGAUAAUGACGGUACCGGGAGAAUAAGCACCGGCUAACUCCGUG